UGAAACUACAAGGCCCUGGACACAGGAUGAUCCCGGAUGGUGAGGCGGAGGUGAGGACAUUGCUGUAUGAGCGGAGAGUUGGCUGAGCUGCUAGAAUCCCUUCCUCUGAAACGAAGCAGUGAAGGGAUGGUGUGGGGAAGGUUGUCAACCAGCCAGCAUGCUCCUGGGCCUGUGGAAGGGGAGAGUGUCCACGGUUCACUUGGGGUCCCAGGGACCUUGCCAGCCCUGUACUGGGCUUUGGCAUGAAGGGGUGGAGAAGCUCUUCCAAGCUCUGACUGGUGUCUUGGUUACUAAAUCCUGAGGGUGGCAUGAUGAGAACACCAGUGGGGAGCCUUUGGCUGUGGGGUUCUGUGAGUGAGGCAGCAUGAAGCAGAAGUUGCC
rnacentral:lncRNA from 1 species